rnacentral:rRNA from 1 species
GUGCAGCAGACGAGAAAACUUCACACUGUGCGAAAGCACGAUGAGGGAAUCCCAAGUGCUUGCACGUAAGUGUAAGCUGUUUCUCUGUCUAAAACGCAGAGAGAGUAAGGGCUGGGUAAGACGGGUGCCAGCCGCCGCGGUAAUACCUGCAGCUCAAGUGGUGACCGUUAUUAUUGGGCCUAAAAACGUCCGUAGCCGGUUUAAAUAAAUGCCUGGGUAAAAUUGUGUAAGCUU